rnacentral:lncRNA from 1 species
CUCACUCUCCUCACUCAGGACACAGGGUCCUGGGCCCAGUCUGCCCUGACUCAGCCUGCCUCCGUGUCUGGGUCUCCUGGACAGUCGAUCACCAUCUCCUGCACUGGAACCAGCAGUGAUGUUGGGAGUUAUAACCUUGUCUCCUGGUACCAACAGCACCCAGGCAAAGCCCCCAAACUCAUGAUUUAUGAGGGCAGUAAGCGGCCCUCAGGGGUUUCUAAUCGCUUCUCUGGCUCCAAGUCUGGCAACACGGCCUCCCUGACAAUCUCUGGGCUCCAGGCUGAGGACGAGGCUGAUUAUUACUGCUGCUCAUAUGCAGGUAAGUCAGGGGCUCCCCAGGUGGACACCAGGACUCUGACCCCCUGCCCCUCAUCCACCCCGCAGGUCAGCCCAAGGCUGCCCCCUCGGUCACUCUGUUCCCGCCCUCCUCUGAGGAGCUUCAAGCCAACAAGGCCACACUGGUGUGUCUCAUAAGUGACUUCUACCCGGGAGCCGUGACAGUGGCCUGGAAGGCAGAUAGCAGCCCCGUCAAGGCGGGAGUGGAGACCACCACACCCUCCAAACAAAGCAACAACAAGUACGCGGCCAGCAGCUAUCUGAGCCUGACGCCUGAGCAGUGGAAGUCCCACAGAAGCUACAGCUGCCAGGUCACGCAUGAAGGGAGCACCGUGGAGAAGACAGUGGCCCCUACAGAAUGUUCAUAGGUUCUCAACCCUCACCCCCCACCACGGGAGACUAGAGCUGCAGGAUCCCAGGGGAGGGGUCUCUCCUCCCACCCCAAGGCAUCAA